ACAGUGAUGGUUUGGAGUGACUGAGAAAGGGACUUAUUAACGAAGACUUUCCCAGAGCUGAGUUUUUAGCUCCAAAGCACCUAGUUCACACUGGGGCUUAAAGAUUUGGGAUCUGUUUUAAGGCUAUACCUCUACAUGUAGAAAGUGGCAGAAUCCAACAAACUAUUUUAUUGUCAGCCCGGUAUCUUGUUCCUGCAUGCAGUAUUUCUUUUUCCUCCCAAUGUGUCUUUCAUUUUGUCUGCUAUCUGGGGCCUAGGACUCAUGAUGAGGCUCCUCCAUUUGUUCCUUUUGAUCCUCCCCUCUCAGCUGGCUGGAUCUAGUCUGCUGGAAGUGGCCACCGAUCACUAUCAGGAAAGAACUGGAGCCCAGGGGUGGCAACCAAGAAGAGUGACAGGAGAUCAAGGGCAAACUUGGCAUCUAGAAUUAACUAUCUAUGUUUAUUAUUUCUCAGAAGCCAGCUGGUGACAGACAAGGCUCACAAAUUGACAAGGUCUCUAUCUCCUGGGCCCCAAAGGCAACAGAAAACUCUAUGGCAAAGCUUACUCAGUCAAUUCUGGAACUCCUCUCUGCACAUAGAUCUGGGUGUUGGCUACAAGGUACAAUACCUAGAAAGCUGACUAAUGAGAGAGGAAGUAAGGAGGAUCCCUGGGGCCUACUGAGCUGACAGAGGGCAGAAGAAACCACAAAUGAUGCAACGCCAUCACAAUGAAAAAUCUGUUCAAUAAAACAAGCUAAGUGUUG